GCAUUGGCAAUUCAGUGGUAGAAUUCUCACCUUCCAUGUGGGAGAUCCGGGUUUGAUUCCCAGUCAAUACA
rnacentral:tRNA from 1 species